GACGUAGGGCGCGAGCGUUGUCCGGAUUUAUUGGGCGUAAAGAGCUCGUAGGCGGCUUGUCGCGUCGUCCGUGAAAACCAGGGGCUCAACCCCUGGCUUGCGGUCGAUACGGGCAGGCUAGAGUUCGGUAGGGGAGACUGGAAUCCUGGUGUAGCGGUGAAAUGCGCAGAUAUCAGGAGGAACACCGGUGGCGAAGGCGGGUCUCUGGGCCGAUGACUGACGCUCAUGUGCGAAAGCGUGGGGAGCAAAACAGG
rnacentral:rRNA from 1 species